GUUGGCUUGUUUUAACCAGUUUUCUACCUUCGGCUGAUUCUACCAGCAGACACUGAAAGGACUCUGAUAGUUCGAGUGAAAGUAGCAAUUCCUCCUUAAGGUCAGAGAUUGCAGCAUCUGAGGGCCUCUUCAAAAGAAGACGUAGUUGAUGAAGGCAUUCUGGAGCAGGACCAGAAAGACCACGACCAAGCAGCCUUGAGAUCUUAGGCAGCGUCUCCCUCAGACAUCCACCAACCACUGGAACACAUCUCCAAAGUUCUGCUGGGCCAGCUCAGCUUCCCCUCAGAAGAAGUUCCACCACAUGAAGGAGCCUUUUGAGAGGCAGCUGGCAUCGUGAUUGGACUGUACUUUGGUCUGUUCCAAUCCAGCUUCAGCUCCAGAGACGGCAGGCGGGACGAGUCAACGGAGGCCUGGUGGACGAAGGCAUGCAGCUGAGUACAAUCCAGAAAACAACAGAGGAGGAGUGCAGCAGCCCAGGGCCAGA